rnacentral:rRNA from 1 species
AUGAACGCUGGCGGCGUGCCUAAUACAUGCCAGUCGAGCGAACGGACGAGAAGCUUGCUUCUCUGAUGUUAGCGGCGGACGGGUGAGUAACACGUGGAUAACCUACCUAUAAGACUGGGAUAACUUCGGGAAACCGGAGCUAAUACCGGAUAAUAUUUUGAACCGCAUGGUUCAAAAGUAAAAGACGGUCUUGCUGUCACUUAAAGAUGGAUCCGCGCUGCAUUAGCUAGUUGGUAAGGUAACGGCUUACCAAGGCAACGAUGCAUAGCCGACCUGAGAGGGUGAUCGGCCACACUGGAACUGAGACACGGUCCAGACUCCUACGGGAGGCAGCAGUAGGGAAUCUUCCGCAAUGGGCGAAAGCCUGACGGAGCAACGCCGCGUGAGUGAUGAAGGUCUUCGGAUCGUAAAACUCUGUUAUUAGGGAAGAACAUAUGUGUAAGUAACUGUGCACAUCUUGACGGUACCUAAUCAGAAAGCCACGGCUAACUACGUG